UAUAGUCCCUGUAUCGUAUGACCUCUACGUCAAGGAUUAUCCUGUGCCGGUGAUCACAGUUCCUGUCUUUGUCUGGAUUCCUGUCAGCCUGCCUGUCUCUCCAGCCACUCCACCUCGCCUGUCUCCAACAACUCCACCAUAGAGCCAGACCCUUUGCAUCCAACCCGCUCUAUGAUCUUGGUUCCACUGAUGUUCACAGAACAGUCUCUGCAACAACCUUGGACUCGGGCUUCAUCGGCGUAGCUAUAAUUUGAACUCAAGGAUCGCUGGAUGCAUGGAAUAAACCUGUCAGUCCAGAGUCUUUUCAUAAACUGGUCAGAGUGGCUCCCAUAGAAACAUUCAGGGCUCUCCACCAAGCACUCAUGAUGUUUCUGGCUGGGGUGAUGGCUGACAGCCAUAGUAGAUCUCCCAGUAUUUGUACAAAACAAUAUUGAGCAGAUGAAAGACAACUGUUUUAACACUGACAGCACGUCGUCAGGCUGGUAACCAACUAUGUUUCCGCUUGCCUCUUGUAAGUCGGUAGGAAGUGGAGAUGGAGGUAGGGGAGGUGGAGUUCCGAUGAUGUAGGCGCACAUUUCACAUGUACGUGCAAAUGUCUUUGUUAUACUACUGACCUUGUUCACACCUUGUAUGCUAAAUUUAGCUGAA